AUUGAACGCUGGCGGCGUGCUUAACACAUGCAAGUCGAACGCGAAAGGGACUUCGGUCCUGAGUAAAGUGGCGCACGGGUGAGUAACGCGUGGAUAAUCUGCCCUUAUGAUCGGGAUAACAGUUGGAAACGGCUGCUAAUACCGGAUACGCUCAAAAUGAACUUUUUGAGGAAAGAUGGCCUCUGCUUGCAUGCUAUCGCGUAAGGAUGAGUCCGCGUCCCAUUAGCUUGUUGGCGGGGUAACGGCCCACCAAGGCAUCGAUGGGUAGCCGAUUUGAGCGGGUGAUCGGCCACACUGGAACUGAAACACGGUCCAGACUCCUACGGGAGGCAGCAGUGGGGAAUAUUGCGCAAUGGGCGAAAGCCUGACGCAGCGACGCCGCGUGAGGGAUGAAGGUUUUCGGAUCGUAAACCUCUGUCAGAAGGGAAGAAACUACGUUGUGCUAAUCAGCAGCGUACUGACGGUACCUUCAAAGGAAGCACCGGCUAACUCCGUGCCAGCAGCCGCCGUAA
rnacentral:rRNA from 1 species